rnacentral:rRNA from 1 species
CCUCGGAGAGUUUGAUCCUGGCUCAGGACGAACGCUGGCGGCGUGCCUAAUACAUGCAAGUCGAGCGAACAGAAGGGAGCUUGCUCCCGGAUGUUAGCGGCGGACGGGUGAGUAACACGUGGGUAACCUGCCUGUAAGACUGGGAUAACUCCGGGAAACCGGAGCUAAUACCGGAUAGUUCCUUGAACCGCAUGGUUCAAGGAUGAAAGACGGUUUCGGCUGUCACUUACAGAUGGACCCGCGGCGCAUUAGCUAGUUGGUGGGGUAAUGGCUCACCAAGGCGACGAUGCGUAGCCGACCUGAGAGGGUGAUCGGCCACACUGGGACUGAGACACGGCCCAGACUCCUACGGGAGGCAGCAGUAGGGAAUCUUCCGCAAUGGACGAAAGUCUGACGGAGCAACGCCGCGUGAGUGAUGAAGGUUUUCGGAUCGUAAAGCUCUGUUGUUAGGGAAGAACAAGUGCGAGAGUAACUGCUCGCACCUUGACGGUACCUAACCAGAAAGCCACGGCUAACUACGUGCCAGCAGCCGCGGUAAUACGUAGGUGGCAAGCGUUGUCCGGAAUUAUUGGGCGUAAAGGGCUCGCAGGCGGUUUCUUAAGUCUGAUGUGAAAGCCCCCGGCUCAACCGGGGAGGGUCAUUGGAAACUGGGAAACUUGAGUGCAGAAGAGGAGAGUGGAAUUCCACGUGUAGCGGUGAAAUGCGUAGAGAUGUGGAGGAACACCAGUGGCGAAGGCGACUCUCUGGUCUGUAACUGACGCUGAGGAGCGAAAGCGUGGGGAGCGAACAGGAUUAGAUACCCUGGUAGUCCACGCCGUAAACGAUGAGUGCUAAGUGUUAGGGGGUUUCCGCCCCUUAGUGCUGCAGCUAACGCAUUAAGCACUCCGCCUGGGGAGUACGGUCGCAAGACUGAAACUCAAAGGAAUUGACGGGGGCCCGCACAAGCGGUGGAGCAUGUGGUUUAAUUCGAAGCAACGCGAAGAACCUUACCAGGUCUUGACAUCCUCUGACAACCCUAGAGAUAGGGCUUUCCCUUCGGGGACAGAGUGACAGGUGGUGCAUGGUUGUCGUCAGCUCGUGUCGUGAGAUGUUGGGUUAAGUCCCGCAACGAGCGCAACCCUUGAUCUUAGUUGCCAGCAUUUAGUUGGGCACUCUAAGGUGACUGCCGGUGACAAACCGGAGGAAGGUGGGGAUGACGUCAAAUCAUCAUGCCCCUUAUGACCUGGGCUACACACGUGCUACAAUGGACAGAACAAAGGGCUGCGAGACCGCAAGGUUUAGCCAAUCCCAUAAAUCUGUUCUCAGUUCGGAUCGCAGUCUGCAACUCGACUGCGUGAAGCUGGAAUCGCUA